CACAAACCUCAAACCAGACGGACUGCACAGGAACCACUUUUAGUCAGUGCUUUCCCACCCAUGGCCCUGGUCCCAGGCUGCAGGGCUGGUCAGCUGUCACCAUUGGCUGAGGCCUUUGCCAGGGAACACAUAAAUCCAGGAUGAAAUACACUCAGAGACAGCAAAUCAGAUCAAUAUGUACUCAUUAAUUGAGCUGCAGUGAGCACUGGUCCCCAGGAGCUCCAGCAUAGCAGGAGUGGGAGCUGCUCCUUGGCAGAAUCCUUCAGGCACAGGUUUGUCAGCUGCCAGGUGUGUGUGUGCUAUCUCCAAUGGGAAGGACCUCUCUGAAAAGCUUC